rnacentral:rRNA from 1 species
UACAGAGACCUCAAGCGUUAUCCGGAAUCAUUGGGCGUAAAGCGUACCGAUCGGUGGUUUAGAAAGUCAGAAGUGAAAUCUCUCAGCUUAACUGGGAGACUGUCUUUUGAAACUUCUAAGCUCGAGGGACAAAGAGGAAGCCGGAACGAACGGUGUAGUAGUGAAAUGCGUAGAUAUAGGGAAGAACACCAAUAAAGGCGAAGGCAGUUAACUAUUCUAUUCCUGACAUUGAGGCAUGAAAGCGUGGGGAGCAAAACGG